rnacentral:rRNA from 1 species
AUUGAACGCUGGCGGCAUGCUUUACACAUGCAAGUCGAACGGUAACAGGCCUUCGGGUGCUGACGAGUGGCGAACGGGUGAGUAAUGCAUCGGAACGUACCCAGAGGUGGGGGAUAACGCAGCGAAAGCUGUGCUAAUACCGCAUGUGAUCUGAGGAUGAAAGCGGGGGACCGAGCAGCAAUGUUUGGCCUCGCGCCUUUGGAGCGGCCGAUGUCGGAUUAGCUAGUUGGUGGGGUAAAGGCCUACCAAGGCGACGAUCCGUAGCUGGUCUGAGAGGACGAGCAGCCACACUGGGACUGAGACACGGCCCAGACUCCUACGGGAGGCAGCAGUGGGGAAUUUUGGACAGUGGGCGCAAGCCUGAUCCAGCAAUGCCGCGUGCGGGAAGAAGGCCUUCGGGUUGUAAACCGCUUUUGGCAGGAACGAAACGGUGUCCGCUAAUACCGGGCGCUAAUGACGGUACCUGCAGAAUAAGCACCGGCUAACUACGU